UACGGGGGGGGCAAGCGUUGUUCGGAAUUACUGGGCGUAAAGGCUCGUAGGCGGCCAACUAAGUCCGACGUGAAAUCCCAAGGCUUAACCUUGGAACUGCGUCGGAUACUGGAUGGCUUGAAUUCGGGAGAGGGAUGCAGAAUUCCAGGUGUAGCGGUGAAAUGCGUAGAUAUCGUAAGGAAGACCAGUGGCGAAGGCGGGUCUCUGGACAGUUCCUGACGCUGAGGCACGAAGGCCAGGG
rnacentral:rRNA from 1 species